AGAGUUUGAUCAUGGCUCAGAUUGAACGCUGGCGGCAGGCCUAACACAUGCAAGUCGAGCGGUAGCACAGAGAGCUUGCUCUCGGGUGACGAGCGGCGGACGGGUGAGUAAUGUCUGGGAAACUGCCUGAUGGAGGGGGAUAACUACUGGAAACGGUAGCUAAUACCGCAUAACGUCGCAAGACCAAAGUGGGGGACCUUCGGGCCUCAUGCCAUCAGAUGUGCCCAGAUGGGAUUAGCUAGUAGGUGGGGUAACGGCUCACCUAGGCGACGAUCCCUAGCUGGUCUGAGAGGAUGACCAGCCACACUGGAACUGAGACACGGUCCAGACUCCUACGGGAGGCAGCAGUGGGGAAUAUUGCACAAUGGGCGCAAGCCUGAUGCAGCCAUGCCGCGUGUGUGAAGAAGGCCUUCGGGUUGUAAAGCACUUUCAGCGGGGAGGAAGGCGNUNAGGUUAAUAACCUNNNCGAUUGACGUUACCCGCAGAAGAAGCACCGGCUAACUCCGUGCCAGCAGCCGCGGUAAUACGGAGGGUGCAAGCGUUAAUCGGAAUUACUGGGCGUAAAGCGCACGCAGGCGGUCUGUCAAGUCGGAUGUGAAAUCCCCGGGCUCAACCUGGGAACUGCAUUCGAAACUGGCAGGCUAGAGUCUUGUAGAGGGGGGUAGAAUUCCAGGUGUAGCGGUGAAAUGCGUAGAGAUCUGGAGGAAUACCGGUGGCGAAGGCGGCCCCCUGGACAAAGACUGACGCUCAGGUGCGAAAGCGUGGGGAGCAAACAGGAUUAGAUACCCUGGUAGUCCACGCCGUAAACGAUGUCGAUUUGGAGGUUGUGCCCUUGAGGCGUGGCUUCCGGAGCUAACGCGUUAAAUCGACCGCCUGGGGAGUACGGCCGCAAGGUUAAAACUCAAAUGAAUUGACGGGGGCCCGCACAAGCGGUGGAGCAUGUGGUUUAAUUCGAUGCAACGCGAAGAACCUUACCUGGUCUUGACAUCCACAGAACUUUCCAGAGAUGGAUUGGUGCCUUCGGGAACUGUGAGACAGGUGCUGCAUGGCUGUCGUCAGCUCGUGUUGUGAAAUGUUGGGUUAAGUCCCGCAACGAGCGCAACCCUUAUCCUUUGUUGCCAGCGGUNNGGCCGGGAACUCAAAGGAGACUGCCAGUGAUAAACUGGAGGAAGGUGGGGAUGACGUCAAGUCAUCAUGGCCCUUACGACCAGGGCUACACACGUGCUACAAUGGCAUAUACAAAGAGAAGCGACCUCGCGAGAGCAAGCGGACCUCAUAAAGUAUGUCGUAGUCCGGAUUGGAGUCUGCAACUCGACUCCAUGAAGUCGGAAUCGCUAGUAAUCGUAGAUCAGAAUGCUACGGUGAAUACGUUCCCGGGCCUUGUACACACCGCCCGUCACACCAUGGGAGUGGGUUGCAAAAGAAGUAGGUAGCUUAACCUUCGGGAGGGCGCUUACCACUUUGUGAUUCAUGACUGGGGUGAAGUCGUAACAAGGUAACCGUAGGGGAACCUGCGGUUG
rnacentral:rRNA from 1 species